AGGCAGUGGCAAGAGUUUCUUUGGCUUUCCAAGUGAAAAAGGAAUACGUGACCAGUGGAUAGGGAAAGUCAAUCGACAGGGGAAGAAACGUGGUCAGCUAUGGGUGCCUAGCAAGCAUUCCAAACUCUGUGGUGAUCACUUCGAACCAGCGUGUUUUGAGAAACAUUUAGCAGAAAGCAUUGGAUACACAGGUGUAGUCCGGCAGAGACUGAAACCAGCUACGCUGCCAACUAUUUUUCCUAUGACCACCGGGACCUCAACCGCCAACAAGAGAACUAAAUCUCGAAGCCGCCAUGGUCCGGCAGCAAACCGGCAAAGAUGAGCGAUGGUGUACGAGUUACUAGGAGCGAGAGCAAUAGAUGACAACCAGUUCGUCACAUCAAAUGAUGCUAAUCUUACCAUGGACGUCACAUAAAUUCUACCGCAGUCCAAUUGCAACUCUGUGUGUAUCCAGGCUACGGUUGACAAUAAGCCAGUCAGUACUCAAACAUCAUGGUAUAAGCGACAUUAUGGGACCCAAGUCACAUCGACAGUGAGCCAGAGGCAUUAAAAAGUUCAAUGUGACCCAGCUGUGGGAGCAGUUUCCAAGACGACACAAACUAAUUGGGCAGAAGAUGUAGGCCCUUCGUGUGUGCAUGCUGGUGUGCAGUGCACAUUGCUGGAUGAUGGCCUGUCAGAUACGAGCACAGAGCUGGAUGAUUCCAUAUUAGAUAGAAAUGUCGAAGAUGAGGACUAUUCUCCUGGUGAUGAGCAAUCUGAUGAUGCUGAUGACACUGAAGAAGAAUGGAUUUCCUUGACAGAGAAUGAGUACAUCGUUGAUGGAAACCCUUUUCGAAUGCGGAAGUUUGUUGUUUUUGAAUCAUGCCUACGAGCACUCCUGGCAAUCUGUGCUGUCUGUUCCAGCCCAUGCCUGGUGACUAUUAAAAAUAUUAGAGGAAGCCUUGCCGUGUUCAAAGCCACAUGCAGACAUGGUCACAUCAAAGAAUGGCCCAGCCAACCAAUGUCAGGUUGUAUACCUCUUGGUAACUUGCUGGCUGCCAGUGUCAUCCUUUUUAGCGGCUGCAGUCCAGUGAAAGCGAUAAAUAUGCUCAAAAGUAUGAACAUAAUGACUUUUUCAAAGCGGAAAUUCUGUCGUAUUUAGAAUGCUUACCUGCUUCUAACUGUCAACCUAGUGUGGGAACGUCACCAAUCUUCCCUUCUGGAGGGAGUUCAGGGAAAACGGCUAACAGUUGGUGGUGAAGCACGAUGCUGUUGUCCUGGGCACACAGCCAAACAUGGUUCAUACACUAUUAUGAACCUUGAAGACUCACAGAUCUUGGACACACAAUUGGUUACAGAGGUGAAGAACUCUCAUGCCAUGGAGUUGGAGGGCUUGAAGAGGUGCCUUGCCUUGUUACAGAGGAAAGGUGUCACCAAUAAAAAACAUUGUGACAGACCGCCACUCCCAAGUUAAGACAUUUCUGAGGGAAACCCGUCAGGACCUUUGCCAUUGGAAUCAAGAAGCAGCUGCUGGCCCUUCCAAAAAAGGCUGGUUGCGAGGCGGUGUUGAAAUGGUCGCAGUCCCACACCAAUCACAUUUAUUGGUCAGCAGCAUCAAGCAAAUGGGAACAGUGAGGAAUGUCGGCAGAAGUGGAUGUCAAUCGCCAACCAUGUCGUGAAUGUUCACAUGGGCCAUGGUGACACAUUUACAGAAUGUCUGCAUGAUGAACUCAAUUCAACAAACAUCAAGCCUUGAAGCCUACCAUAAAGUAGUGCUGUACUUCGCUCCAAAGGCCUCCCAUUUCUCACACAAGACAAUGAAAGCAAGGCACUGUACAUUAGUGGUGAAACUAGAUAUACAGUUCCACACAGCCACAAUGUACAUUGCUCGUGUUUGAGGAGCAAAUGGAAUGUGCUAAACUUGGUUAUACAGCUGUCACUAUCGAAUAUUUUUAGAAUCGAUUAAUGCUAAUUAUUUUUAUUCUGUUCAUUGUUGCUCCUGGUGGUUUGUAUUUUAGGUUGCUUCUGCCAGCUUUACAUUUCAAUGCAAAUGCGAAGGAAGGAGGGGGAGCUACAGUGGAGCAUCUCUUACACAAAAGGGAAGGAUGGUAAGCCAGUGGUAAAGGAGGUCAAGGUGCCAAUUACCUAUGUCUGUCCAGACACUCCUGGAUCAAGUAAUGCAAAGGAGACAUACAUUUCCAACCUUGGAGGCAGCUGGGGUUGAUGCAAGUGAGAUCUGUGCCACAAAAUGUUGUUGAGAAAUAUGACAGGGUUGACAAGAUGCAGGUGGUAUGUGGGAGAAAAAAAGAAUGCACCGGGUUCAACAAAGUUCUGGUUUAAUUAGACUUUUGGAUAUUUAAAUCCACAAUAAGUUUUCACUCUCCCACUGAGCAUGUAUUCUACUUACACAGGAUGGCAGAACUCUUCUGUUUUUCUUUCCAAGGAUGUGAUUGAUCCAUCGUGUGAAUCGUCUGUAUGCAA